GAAUAAUCGAGAAUUAAAUCAAACGAGCAUAGACGAAGGUUAACUAAAAUAGAAAGAUAGAAACGAAGAAGAGCCUUGAGAGAGACGUAACUAAGUAAACAACGAAUGACAGUUGUGUAUCUACGGUGACGAUUUAACUGUCAAUAACUGAUUAGAAGCCAUGUCCAAGAAGCAUAAUAUUACACAGAAGGAGAUACUAGAGGCAAUGUAAUACAUAUCUACUAUUUGAGUAAGUUGUGGAGAUGGCAUCUGCUAAAAUUGCAACUCGUCCAGAUUUCAAGUGGCAAAGACCAUUGUUGAUAACACGAGAGGUUUCAGGCCAAAUUCAGAGUUGACAUGAGUUCAGACUGCCCCAGAUCAGAUGUUACUUGGUAUCAGCUUUUUCCAAAUACUGCAGAAUUGUGGCACAAGUUUUGUAGAAGGCCCAGCAGCCAAAAUCGGAGGACUUGCAGGAGGACCAAAUAAGGAAGUUCUCCAGCACCUGCCAAGGAAUCUAAAUCGUAUGAUCAUGACUUCGGUAGGAAUUGUCAUCUCAGGAUCUCUCCCUGUGAAGUCGAUGAAACCUAUUCAAUAGAAUAAGUACACCAAAGGAGCCAUUGACUGGAGAACAUUGGUUUCAACCUCCUACCACAGCAGCAGACCCCACACUGCAGCAGUAACUGAUCACCAUACAGAGCCAGUGAUUUUUCAUCGCCCUGGGGGAGACGCGAACCCGCGACACAUGAGCGGCAUACCACGAUGCUAACCACUAUACCAGCAGACCAUUUGCCUUAUAGUAGAUUCACAUCACCCGUGCAUUGGAUGUCUAGGCC